rnacentral:misc_RNA from 1 species
GAUGAAGAACGUAGCGAAAUGCGAUAAGUAAUGUGAAUUGCAGAAUUCAGUGAAUCAUCGAAUCUUUGAACGCACAUUGCGCCCCCUGGUAUUCCGGGGGGCAUGCCUGUUCGAGCGUCAUUUCACCACUCAAGCCUCGCUUGGUAUUGGGCAACGCGGUCCGCCGCGUGCCUCAAAUCGACCGGCUGGGUCUUCUGUCCCCUAAGCGUUGUGGGAACUUUCGCUAAAGGGUGUUCGGGAGGCUACGCCGUAAAACAACCCCAUUUCUAAGGUUGACCUCGGAUCAGGUAGGGAUACCCGCUGAACUUAAGCAUAUCAAUAAGCGGAGGA